CUUAAUGAAAAAAGAGAAGACAAAUUUCUUACUCACCAGUUUAGUUUAAAGAGAAAAAAAAAAUCUGCCUAGACCUUAAAUCCCACAUAGGGCAUCGACUUCUCUAUAUGAAUAACAAAUCUGCAAAAUUAUAAAAUCACAUCCUAUAAGUGAUUUUUUUUAGGCCAAUGAGUAAAAAAGGAGAUAACUGUGUAAUACAGCAAAUCAAGAACUAUUCUGUACCUGAGACAAGCUACUGCUUAUUUCUAUUUCCAUUAUUUCUUCCCUUGUAACCAUUUCUGCAAGUACUAUAAAUGAUAAUGGCUUUAAUUAAAUACUUUAAAAGUCAAACCGCCUCCCAAUUUUGCUCAUUUUAAAGAUGGAAUAUAAUUAGAUUUGACUUAAAUACAUACUUUUCUUAAUUUUAUUCAUCUUAUUUACAAUUCUGCUUUUGAAACCUUCUGCUUUUUGAAAUGUUCUUCUCAUUUUUUGUUAGGUGAUUCACAGAGACAAAGGAGAAUUCUACCCCAGUUACUUGGAGGCAUCUUUUGUGAAACUUUGAUCACCCUGAAUGGUUGGAAGGACAGAGCAGGCAAACUUAUUAAAGAGGUUAGUGAUGAUGAUUUAAAGGGUUCUGGAGUGAGAAAUGUAUGAAAGACACUUAGCAUAGAGUUCAGCAUGGGAUCAGCACUGAAAUAAAUGAUUCCUACUGUCACGGUUGCAUUUCUGACGAUCAGGUUGUUCAUAAUCACACUUUUGACAGAGCUAUUGUAUUAGACAUAAAGGUCUGAAAAAGGUCAAUGAAAUGUUUUACCAGUUGUCUCUUUAUAACCUCCCACCCUUUUUGGGAAUUAAAACCUGUAUUCCUGCCAGGGAUCAAUAAUCAAAGGGGGAGAAAAAUGUUCUUUACUGUUUGUUUUCUAAUAUCUUAAACAACAGGAGAGGGCUCAAUGGAAUUGUCCUGACAAGAAUCACUGGCAGAGACACCGUCAAAGCGCGGCCGGGAGCGGAGGCGGAGAUCCCGGGGCACAGCCGCUAGGCCUCUAUCUGCCUCCAGUGACUACCGAGACGCUUCUCCCUCUGCUUCGGGCGUGUCCCGGGCAGGGGCGCUCUCAGGGGGCCGGGGGUACUACUCUGGAAAACCCACGCUCUGAUCCGAAGAGCCCAGCCUGCAGUCGUCCCGCACACUGCGCAGGCGCGCCCCGGCGGCUGCCAUACCCAGCGUCCUCUCUGGCCGGAAGUCGGCCCAGCGCGUCUUCCGGGCAUCCCUGGCGAAAUCACCACACUUCCUCUGCCUGCGUAUACCGAAACAACUCACCAUUCUAGAAAAGGAGACACUGAAUCAAUGGCAGGAAGAUCCUGCUGUGUGAAUUGGAAGACUUGAACAAAGUGAAUAUGACUUCAUGAAUACUGAUUUAUUGCUCAACACAAUGGUGUCUUAAUUGAAGAGCCACCUGUCUAGCAGCAGAAGAAUUUUGUUAUUAGGUUUACUAUUUUUUUUAAAUAAACAAGAACAUGUAAUUUUUUUAAUGUGGAAAUUUACACUACUCCUUCCUUAGAAAACAGACUUGUUUCAUUUUUUGUUAAUUUGUAAAAUAUAUGAAUAUUGUUAUUUUUCGUUUCAUCAAACCAUAAUUUUGAAAGAAACAUGUCCAUUAUUCAUAACUAAAUCCUUAAUAAAAAACCUAGAAUUCCACAAGAACCAAAGAAUUGGCAAGUAUAUGUGAAAACUAGUCUGGAAAAAUUUUGUUUGAUUUAUAAGAAGCCUCUUGUCUCUACAUUUAAAUUUAUCCAUGUGCCCCUAUAGUCAUCUGUCAGACUGGGAGAAUUUCCAGAUAAUCAAAAUGUCACAGAGUUAGUACUUUUAAUUUUUAUUUCAUCUCCUGCAAGUAUGAACUCUGAUUGUAAUUACUGCUUCAUCUGUUCUUGAAUGAUUUUGUUUUAUCAGACAAAGACAGUGCUUUGACGACCACACUGAUGGAGAAUAAGGAAACUGCUUAAGAUGGGUAACAAUAAGAAUGCUAUGUUUUGGGAAACAGCAAACUACCUGAAACUAUAGCUUAUACAACAUGCAUCCUAAAGUCAUAAUUAAGAGUUGAAUAUUUAGCAUCCACAUCUUACCUUGACACCAGAGUCAUAUGUUUUUUUUUUUUCUGGUUAAAAUAU